rnacentral:misc_RNA from 1 species
AUGUCAUAUACUUCGCAAAUCGCAACCGACCGUCAGAUUUUUCGACUGAUAAACGCAAAAAUAAUGAUAUUGUUAUUUUCUCCGUAGAUAUCCCUUAAAAUCGUUUUAUACUCGUAAACUACAACCCUCAGUUACAAUGGAAGACGUUCUGGAUGAGGUGGUUUCCUCGGAAGAUCUGCAAAAGUUCGAGAAAGUGUUCCACGAGCAGCUGCACGGCGGCCGCGUCACGCACAAGGCGCAGUUCGAGUACGCGUGGUGCCUGGUGCGGAGCCGCUACCCCACAGACAUCAAGAAGGGCAUCCUACUUCUGAAGGAGUUGUUCAACUCGCACCCGGAGGGCAAGCGGGACUACCUGUUCUACCUGGCCAUCGGGCACGCGCGCAUCAAGGAGUACAGCAAGGCGCUGCACUUCGUCAAGGCCUUCCUGGAGAUCGAGCCCGCCAACCAGCAGGUGCUGGCGUUAGAGCGGCAGGUCAACAAGCGCAUGGAGAAGGAGGGGCUGAUCGGCAUGGCCGUGGCGGGCGGCGCCGUCAUCGCCAUCGGCGGCCUCGUCGGCCUCGGCCUCGCGCUCGCCUCCUCCAAGAAAUAGCACUUGGCUCUGCUAAUGAAUGUCGCGGUCGGCAUUCAUUACUUCCUCAGCAAGCAGAGGCGCCGCGAGUGAGGCCGCUUUAGUGACUGUACAAACACACACACACACGCCGGCAUACCAUCAACCACAUACUAGACUGACACCAAUAAAAUAAGGAUCGCUCCAGGGAUUUGUGUUUCUGUCGGACGUAGCGUAGUCUAUUUAUAUGUAUAUGCGUAAUUGAAAUUUUAAUUUUAGGUACUUUAAUUGUAAGAGUAUUGUUAUUUAUGAUGAUUAGAAAUAGUUGUGUCGAUGGAUUCCAUUAAAUAAAUAUUUUUGUUUUUGAUAUGGUUA